rnacentral:rRNA from 1 species
GACGAACGCUGGCGGCGUGCUUAACACAUGCAAGUCGAACGGAAAGGCUCCAGCUUGCUGGAGUACUCGAGUGGCGAACGGGCGAGUAACACGUGGGUAAUCUGCCCUGCACUCUGGGAUAAGCCUGGGAAACUGGGUCUAAUACUGGAUAUGACCUUUCUCCUUAUGGGGUUUGGUGGAAAGUUUUUCGGUGUAGGAUGAGCCCGCGGCCUAUCAGCUUGUUGGUGGGGUGAUGGCCUACCAAGGCGACGACGGGUAGCCGGCCUGAGAGGGUGAUCGGCCACAUUGGGACUGAGAUACGGCCCAGACUCCUACGGGAGGCAGCAGUGGGGAAUAUUGCACAAUGGGCGGAAGCCUGAUGCAGCGACGCCGCGUGAGGGAUGACGGCCUUCGGGUUGUAAACCUCUUUCAGCAGGAACGAAGCGUAAGUGACGGUACCUGCAGAAGAAGCACCGGCUAACUAUGUG